rnacentral:rRNA from 1 species
UACGUAGGUGGCGAGCGUUGUCCGGAAUUAUUGGGCGUAAAGCGCGCGUAGGUGGGAUAGUAAGUCUGCUUUAAAAGUGCGGGGCUCAACCCCGUGAGGGGGUAGAAACUGCUAUUCUUGAGUGCAGGAGAGGAAAGCGGAAUUCCCAGUGUAGCGGUGAAAUGCGUAGAUAUUGGGAGGAACACCAGUGGCGAAGGCGGCUUUCUGGACUGUGUCUGACACUGAGGCGCGAAAGCCAGGGGAGC